CUGACACCAAACAUGACAUGUUCAAGAUCACCAACAGGAAAUGAUGUCACUUCCUUGGCGGGAAAACAACUGUGGUGAACCUGUGCAGCUGAAAGACAGCGGCAAUACAGAGAACGACGUAAUGCUGCCCCAGAAAGGAGAGUAUCUAGAGAAAGAGAGGGAGGAAAGAUAAAAGAGACUGGGAAGAAGAAGGCAAUAGCUGAACUCAGUGACAGAGUGCAGCAUGCAGAAAGGAAGAAAUGGAGAGAUUCAAACAGGAUACUCAGAGCCAGGGUCAAGACUAGUGCAUUGCUGCAGUCUGCAGAGAUGCCAUUAAAGGAACGAUGAAGAUUAAUCAGGUUAUCAGUGUCUCACCAGGCCAGAUAAAAUACUUGUCUGUGCAGAAGGAUAGUGGCAUGUUGGACUGUCCUUGUUUUCAGCUCAAAGAGGCAACUCUGGGUGACCCUGCAGCAUCUAACCAGCUCCCUACAUCUCAUGACGAGGCUGACACCACAUGGCGACCUGGAACCAUUGAACUUAAUCACGUAGGGGAGUGGUGUGUUGUCAAUUAUGACCAUGAAGGAUACCCUGGCAUCAUCAUAGAUGUAGAGGAACAUAACAUUAAGGUGAAGUGCAUGCACCUGAAUGGCAUCAACAAAUUCUUCUGGCCAAGUCCAAAGGAAGAUAUUUGUUGGUACUCUGAUGGACAGAUAAUUUGUCAGAUGCCAGAGCCAUGGGCUGUUAAUAAACACUCUGUACAGAUGGAAAGAUCCACCUGGAAGUACGUGGAAGAGCAUUUGGGGUGAAAGGGGGGACGGAUGGAAAUUGGGGGAGAGGAAGAGAGGGAGAGGAAUGUGUUUUAAUGCUAAUUCCAAUGAUUUUUCUACUGGCAAUGUAUUUUUGUGUUGUUUUUCACAAUGAAUACAGUUGAAGUCGGAAGUUUACAUACACUUAGGUUGGAGUCAUUAAAACUCGUUUUUCAACCACUCCACAAAUUUCUUUUUAACAAACUAUAGUAUGGGCAAGUCGGUUAGGAAAUCUACUUUGUGCAUGACACACAUCAUUUUUACAACAAUUGUUCACAGACAGAUUAUUUCACUUAUAAUUCACUUUAUCACAAUUCCAGUGGGUCAGAAGUUAGCAUACACUAAGUUGACUGUGCCUUUAAACAGCUUGGAAAAUUCCAGAAAAUGAUGUCAUGGCUUUAGAAGCUUCUGAUAGCCUAAUUGACAUCAUUUGAGUCAAUUGGAGGUGUA
rnacentral:lncRNA from 1 species